AAAAAGAACAAAAUCGUGUUCCUUUUCUAUUUCUUGCUCCCUUCGAACACUGCCUCUUCUCCUGCGAGCCUCGUCUCCAAACAGGCUUCGGUCGCCCGGCGCCGAUCGUCCGGCUUCGGAAGCCGUUCUCCCGCCUCGGCUCGGCUUUGUUGACUCACCGCUCCUAGUCGUCGUCGUCGUCGUCGCCGUCACCGUCGUCGUCGUCGUCGCCGUCACCGUCGUCGCUUCAAGGAGAACGAAGCACCCCACCUUCGACGCUCGAGAUUCGCCAUCAAAGCCUUCUCAGAAAUCCUCAAGCUCCUCUCGCUAGCUCGGCCAUGUUCGGUGCUCGCGACGCCUUCGCCGCGUGAUCUUCAGCUGCUACGGCGGUUUCCCCCGCCGGCUCCGGAGAGACGAUGGUGAGCAAGUUCCUCUGCGACUUCCGGUGGUUCCUCCUCCUCGCCGCGGCGGUGGCGUUGAUCCACAUCCAGGUGAUUCCUUGGUCCCGAUUCUCACGCGAUCUGGAAUUUUUGCGGUUUUGUGUGACCGAUCCACGUGCAUAUGUGCUCGCGGCUGCUUUUGUGUGGUUUUGUAGGUUUUUGUUGUUCGCUUCUUUCUUAAACGCCAUUUCGCGUGUAAAACAGAAGACUGAUGCGAAUAAAUGGAACAAAAGUUGUUUCGUCUGCUGAAUUUUCAGUUUGCUAAUGCUGAUGGACUGAAAAUGCGGGCGAAUUCAAUUGCACCUUUAUCUUAGCUUAUGUAUUUUGACCAGAGAUUCUGUUCCUUUUGCGCGUGCUUGCAUCAGUCGCUGAACUAAAGCAAUUUACAAAAUCAUGCGAGAUAGAAGGACUAAGGCUUCUUUCCUAACAUGUGAAAGAAGUGUUCGAUGUAGAACAAAUGAGAAGGGGUUGAUAGCACUAGAUUGUCUACUCCUAGUAAAGAUGUAGAAAAUUAUAGUGUUUGUGGGCCGUCUAUUAAUUGCAGAAAGUCUCGUAACUAUAGAAUAGCGUGAUUUUAGAUGUUCGUUGCCUUCUGUGCUCUGUUGUGGGGUUACUUUGUAGGAAUUUUGCUUUGAUGACCAUGGACAUGUGGUACUUUAGGAAUUUCAGCAGGAAAAUUAAGAGAUGCUUUGAUUCAAGAGGCAAAAUAUGGGUCCAUUAACUCAGGUAUUUGAUGCUGUAGCUGUAGUAUUUUUGGUGAAACUCGUUUUUCUUUCCUCUGCUGGUCUGGUUUCUAGUAAAGGACAGGACAUCUUAUGAUUGAGUACAGAAUUGUAUGGCCUUGUGCCCCAUUCAUAAAUUUUAACUCAUCAAGUUACCAUCAAGAAUUAUAGUAAUCCAAUCCUAAAACAUACUAAUUUUCUAUAACCACACUUAAACUAUCUUUUUUUGUCAGAUUCACCUUCAAUUGCUGCCUUUUUAGCCCUUUAGCUCUCCAAUUUCAUGUAUAAACUGUUGUUCGAUGGUUAGGGAGAUGCUUAUCUUUUGAUUAUCACAAACAGAUAUCCAAAACGGUUCUUGGCUAGGAAAAAGGAUUUGUGCUAAACUUUUCUUUUCUCCAGUUUCAGUUAAAUCUUUCAGUUCAGUUUCUUCCCCAACAUUAUCAUCUUUUUUUGGCUUUAAAGAGAUGCUCCAGCAUCAAGCAAUGUACAUAUGUAUGUAGCAGUCAUGUUGGCUUCCGUGAUAAAUUCUUCUUGCGUUGGUAUGUUUAUCCAAUGGUUUUCCUUACUUCAUUUGUUUAUCCACCAAAAUUAUAUGUUUCCUCGUUUGACUUUUAUCUUUCUGUUUUUGUUUUUUUCCCUCUCUCCCGCAGAUGUGUCUUUUCACGACACAAUUGGAACAUGCUGAUCAACUUGCUGCUGCUGGAAGUCUCCAUCCUAUUACCUCAUCCUGGUAUCUACUUCUGGAUCGAUGGCCAUUUGAACCUCUAGCUUUGUUCCAAGAGAUACACAUUCAGUUAUUAAGAUAUGUACUCGGUAAAUUUGUUAUUAUCAUGUACAGCCAGCAUCUAGACUUUUAAGUUAUGUAAUUAUAAGCUUAGGUGAAUUUAGAUCUGCAACUCACUCUGCCUAGUGAAUUUGAAAAAGAAAUUUGAGUGUGUGGUGGAACCCUUUCCUUGUUGUGUGGGAGGAACCUUUCUGAAUUUGUCAUAUUGAGCAAAAUUUUUGAAAACGCUGAGUGCUGAAUCUCUCUUUCAUCCAACGUUUAGUAAAUUUACUGUCUUGCUUGAAAUAUCAAUUGGGAAGAGUCAAUCCGUUCAAGUGAGAAUAUUAUACCCCAUCAAAUGAUGGUAGUAAUUCUCAUAUAUUGUGUUUUUAUGGUUAGUCAAGAAGUACUAAUGGUGGAUCCAUUACAUUAUUUGGUUAGUUUUGUCUUCGGAUGGUUUUAUUGUGCUGCUGUCCUUCAGGAGGAGUAGCUUCUGAGAGGAUUCACACUUAAAUGAUGCUAGUAAUUCCCAUGUAUUGUGUUUAAUGAUUGAUCCAAGAAGUUUUAAUGGGGGACCUGUUUAGACAGAGGGAUGCUAUAGUUCAUUUUAUUUCAAGUUUGAAGCUUCUUUUAUUCAUCUUCACAGCCUUAUCAACCUUUUCUUGUCGAAGAUAUGUGUUUCCUUCUCCAUCUCUCUUUUCUUGUAAUCUUUAAAUACAUUUUGCGGAAAUCCUUUAUCGAUCUGAUUUCUUUCCUGGACUGGGAUGGCUGUUGACCAGAUCUACAUGGAAGGAAUUAUCCCCAAAGUGGCCUAAGGCAUAUCCUUAUUGGUUUGAUAUAUUGGUUUUAGAUCACGUAUGUUUAUAGCUCAUGUGUCUCCCGAAAUUUUCUUUGACAACACUAACUUUCUAGGAUGACUGGUUGAGGCUACAAGAGAACCACCAAGGUUGACAAUUUACUCUGAUGUGUGGUCACUUCAGUCUUGUGUAGUUACUUUGCAAGUUUUGCAUGUAUAAUAUAGUAUGUAAAUUUAUAACUGAUUAUUCAUGGCCAUGCUCAUGGUAGAGGGCUUAUAACGGCUCCCUUACGCAUUGUCCUUGCUUGUAUUAAUGAUUCUAGAGUUGGAAACUCUCUUUCUCUCUUACUCGCACAAAAGAUAUGAUGCUUUCUCCCACGUGCAGGAUGGUGUACCAAGGACAGCAUAUGAAGGAGCAGUAAUCUCCUGGUAUUCACCACCACGGCAUGUGUUUCUAGUGGAUCCGGAUUCUUUCAGGCUGCUUGGGAUCAAACGUGUUUGAUGCAUUGAGGUGAGGUUCCACGGCGCUGGUAAAUCAUGGUGCCAGACCUGAGCUUCCUCUUUCCUCCUCAAUGCCUUGUGUAACUGGUACACUAUCAGAGGAACCACCGGGAGCAUAGCAACUGGAGCUCGCUGAUGAGCAGAAGUGUAGAGGGCUGACGAUUUCUUUUGCGAUUUUGAUUGAGGAGAGGGAGGAUUCUUCUGAACGGCAGUGUCCAGUCCAUACAUAUGCCUUUAAAUGGCCGAAGCAAGCCGUCAUUCAUUGGAAGAGAGCCAUAGGUCAUGUUAGCUUACUUUACACUUAAUAGCACGUAACCUCAACAAAUUUUGUUGCUCCCGAAGAAACAUACAUCUGUCUCUCGCCAUGUUUCCCCGCUCUUUUGCCCCCGCUUUGGCGGGUUGGAGCGCGGAGGACUAAAAUGUAAGAGACCCACACAGUCGAAAGUGGGAGUUCAUGCCUGUCUUUGUAUGCAAAACAUGAGGAACUUCUAGUCAUGUGUGUUGUGAACAAAAUGGUGAGAAAAAUUUGGUACAAAGUUUAUUUAUAAA
rnacentral:lncRNA from 1 species